rnacentral:rRNA from 1 species
UGACUGAGCGGCGGACGGGUGAGUAACGCGUGAGCAACCUGGCCUGUACAGGGGGAUAACAGCUGGAAACGGCUGCUAAUACCGCAUAAGACCACAGCACCGCAUGGUGGAGGGGUCAAAGAUUUAUCGGUACAGGAUGGGCUCGCGUCCCAUUAGCUGGUUGGCAGGGUAAAAGCCUACCAAGGCAACGAUGGGUAGCCGACCUGAGAGGGUGAUCGGCCACACUGGAACUGAGACACGGUCCAGACUCCUACGGGAGGCAGCAGUAGGGAAUAUUGGGCAAUGGGCGCAAGCCUGACCCAGCAACGCCGCGUGAAGGAAGAAGGUCUUCGGAUUGUAAACUUUUGUUGUCAGGGAAGAAGAAGGACAGUACCUGACGAGGAAGCCCCGGCUAACUACGUGCCAGCAGCCGCGGUAAUACGUAGGGGGCGAGCGUUGUCCGGAAUUACUGGGCGUAAAGGGCGCGUAGGCGGCAUAUUAAGUUAGAUGUGAAAUUCCCGGGCUUAACCUGGGCGUUGCAUUUAAAACUGAUAAGCUUGAGUGCCGGAGAGGAAAGCGGAAUUCCU